rnacentral:lncRNA from 1 species
UCUCAAACUCAAUGUAGCAAACUAGGCACACUCGGAAGUCUAUAAUUGAGUUUCACCCCAAUAAAUAAACACUCUUAUAUAAAGAUAUAAUCUAACUUGUGCCUCUCUAGUAAUAUUGAUCCACUUGUUUCCAUUAAGCAAAUAAAUAAUUCGUGGCACACACGGAAGAGUAAAAAUCAGAUUUUUGGCUCAAAGAGCGAAUUCUUGAGGGAACGCCUCAACCAUAAACUAAUAGAUCAGAACAUAAAACCAACAAAAUUAUCACCUAAGCAAUACAUGGUUAAUUUAAGCAAAUAUGCAGCAGGAUAUUUCAAGCAAUAAUCUUUAUCUAAUCAAAAUAAAUAAAUAAAUUCGAACCAGCAUCUAAAGAAAAAUCGACGCACAGAUAGAUCAAUAACAGAGAAUGAAGAUAAGAGAUUGGACCUCUAUUGAUUUCUUUGCAAUUUGAGAAAAAGGACAAAACAAACUCUGACACGUGAAACCAAACUUCAACGCCGAGACCGAUGGGAAAGCGGCAUCCAGGACACAAACAGAGUACUCGAACAGAAACUCGCCAUUGACUGGAAACCUUGAACCCAGCAAAACAUCACUGUUUUAGGUGGGGAAAAAAAAGACUAUUCUGAGGUAUUUUUAUGGCUAAUUUGGUGUAUUUUUCUGGAUUUUCUUUGCGUUAUUUGGGCCGAGGUGAGGACAUUUUUUAAACUGUUUUUGCUGGAUUUGAGGGCUAUUUUCGGAGCUGAUUUUCGGGACUGUUUCAGCUGAAUUUUGGGGCUGGAUUUCACUGGUUUUACUGAGUUUUGGGGACUGUUUUGAUCAUGUUUUGGGGGUGUUUUUCAGCAGUGUUUUGGCUGUAUUUUGGCUGGAAUUUUGGACUGUUGUUUAGGCUGUUUCGAGGUGAUUUAGAGGCUGGUUUAUCGAAAGUUUUCAGCUCAUUUUUGGAGCUUUACUCGGCUGGUUUCAAUGGAGUUUUAGGGGGUUGCUUUUGGGGUGUUCAUGGCUGAAAAAGAAGAGGAUGUAUGGGGGUUUUGGGUGGUGUUUUAGUGGCUUUAUGACUAAUUUACAGGGUGGUUUAGGGGGCUUUUUGAGCUAAUUUUCACAUUGGGAAGAAAAGUUCGUGAGCUGCCGCUAUAGUGAAGAAGAAGUCGUGGAUUUUCAUUGCUGCUAUGAGGAAGGGAAAAAUCCCUCUUUUCUUUCCAAUCCCCCGUUUCUCUCUCGUUUUUCAGCGAUUUUCCCCAACCCCCUUUUUGUUUGUGCUCUGUUUUUCCCUAAAUGUGUGAUGAGUGUGUAGAUAUAUAGCUGAGUGAGGGUGUGAAUAUAGUGCCAAAAAUAUGAGCAGGUGAGUGGAUAUUACUUGGGAGGAAUCUUUCUCUCUUUCCAAUGCACUCCAAAGAAAAAAUAUGUUAUGUGAGAGAACGUGAGGCACGAAAAUGAAAUUGGCAAUGCCAGGGAAUCUUUUGCAACUUGGCCAUUUCUGAUUGGUACUUUUUAUUUUUUUAUUUUAAAAUUCUUUUCUUUUUAAGCCAAGUAAAGAAAAAUACAAGGACAAAAUAUUAGCUAAAGUAUCUCUUAAAAGAGAACAUAUUUUUUUUGUGAGUUUUUCUUUUCUUUUUCAAAUGAACAAAAAAUUAAUAUUCUAAAAAUGUGAAUCAUUUUGAUGGUUUUUAAUUUUCUCAAAUAAAACCUAUAAAAGGGUGAAACAAAAGCUAAAAUAUCAAGAUUAAACUUAAAAAUAUUUAAAUACUAAAAAGUGGUGAAAAAACUAAAUAUGGUCAAAAAUUAGAUGCUCACAACAUGCCCCUCUUUGCUUGGAAACAUGAAGAGUUUUCAGCCAAAGGCAAGGUGAGCUGUGUGACUAAUUUUUGACCAAACCAUUAUUUAAAAUGGAAAGAAAUAAGAUAAAAGAGUGCAACCGAGUCCUGCUUGUGGACAACCUACAUAUCCCGAGUUAUAAGGGAAUAAGGUCGCGUGUAGUUCAAGGAGAAUGAUGGAAUGCUGGAAUGAUGAGUUCGAGAGUCGAGUGAGGUUCCGUCGAGGAUCUGGUCCGUGGUCCUGUUAUUACAUCAAAAUCAAAAUCAAAAAAAACUAAACAAGCCUAUUAGCUAUGAGUUACAAGAUUCUUAUUUAUAAGUCUUUGAAAAUAUGAUCUAGAGUCUUGACAGGUUCUUCACACAGACUCUGAUCUGAACCUUGAUGCUUGCUAGCUGCAGGUGUUAGUUCAUUCUUCUAAGGCUUUUUCAGAUCAAAAUGGAAAAUGCAAUGCUCCUGACUUCAGUCAUGUCUUGAGCAGUCCACAUUUUUUCAUUUCCUUCUGCAUUUUGGAUUCACUUAUUUUUUCUUUUCUUUUAUUCAGAAUUGAUCCUUCUUCUUUUGGUCAUCUCGAACCAUUUGCCUCGACGUAAAACCUGUUCAGACACCAAAACAAAUAAACGAACGAAAUUUUUCUGUCCCAAUUUUUAUUAGGAAAAUAUUGUGAAUUAUUUAUAACAAAACUCUAUACUACUUUAUUUAUUAAAAGCAAUAAAAGGUCUGGAUUGGUGUACCCUGGGAAAACGUGAUUCUUUGGGAAUGGUGUACCCUGAUUGUUUAAAUGGUGCCUCAACUAAGUAUUGGUAUACCUUAUGUUGGGGAAAUGCGAUGAGGGAAUGAUGUACCCUAUAUUUAGCAAAGAUAUCAGGGAGUGGUAUACCCUGCAUUUAAGAUCAGAUUAACUAGGGAUUAGAGACCCUAAUGUUGGAGAGAAGACUAGGGAGUGGGGACCCUAUGUCUAAAAUAACAUUAACUAGGGAGUGGAGACCCUAUGUUAGAAAGGAGACUAGGAAGUGGAGACCCUAUUUCUAAAAUAAAAUCAACUAGGAAGUGGAGACCCUAUGUUGGAAAAGGAAGACUAGGGAGUGGAGACCCUACGUCUAAAAUAAACGUCAACUAGAGAGUGGAGACCCUAUGUUGGAAAGAGAGACUAGGGAGUGGAGACUCUAUGUCUAAAAUAAAAUUAACUAGGGAGUGGAGACCCUAUGUUAGAAACGGAGACUAGAAAGUGGAGAACCUAUGUGUAAAAUAACGCCAACUAGGGAGUAGAGAACCUAUGUUGGAAAAGAAGACUAGGGAGUGGAGAUCCUAUAUCUAAAGUAAAAUCAACUAGGAUAUAGAGACCCUAUGUUAGAAAAUGAGACUAGGGAGUGGAGACCCUAUGUCUAAAAUAACGUCAACUAGGGUGUGGAGACCCUAUGUUGGAAAAGAAGACUAGAGAGUGGAGACACUAUGUCUAAAAUAAAAUCAACUAGGGAGUAGAAACCCUAUGUUGGAAAAGAGAUUAGGGAGUGGAGACCCUAUGUCUAAAAUAAAAUCAACUAAGGAGUGGAGACCCUAUGUCUAAAAUAACAUCNNNNNNNNNNNNNNUAGGGAGUAGAGACCCUAUGUUGGAAAAGUGACUAAGGAGUGGAGACCCUAUGUCUGAAAUAACGUCAAGUAGGGAGUGAAGACCCUAUGUUGGAAAAGAGACUAGGGUGUGGAGACCCUAUGUCUAAAAUAAAAUUAACUAGGGAGUGGAGACCCAAUAUUAGAAAAGAGACUAGGGAGUGGAGAUUCUAUGUCUGAAAUAACGUCAACUAGGGAGUGGAGACCCUAUGUUGGAAAAGAGACUAGGGAGUGGAGACCCUAUAUCUAUAAUAACAUCAACUAGGGAGUGGAGACCCUAUGUUGGAAAAGAGACUAGGGAGUGGAGACCCUAUGUCUAUAAUAACGUCAACUAGGGAGUGGAGACCCUAUGUUGAAAAACAAACUAGGGAGUGGAGACCCUAUGUCUAGACCCUAUGUUGGAAAAUCCAGCUAGGGAGUGGUGUAGCCUAUACUACCAUGAUUUUGAACUUUGUUUUUUCUUUCUUUUUUCAUCAUUCAUUUUUUUUUUUUCAAUUUAGAGAACGAGUAAAUGCGGGAAAAAAUUUUGGAGGAGACUUCCCUUUUGGAGUUGUUGAUGCAAAGUUGUUUCUAGCCUUCGCGCAGUUUCUUUUUGGUUGCACCUGCUUCUUGCAAGGUUGCUUUUGGAUUGUACAUGUUUUCUGUUUUUCAAACAAAGAACAAUUGUUAAUUUGAAACGGUGGUUGGUUUUGCGGCCUUAAGUGUUUCAGUCACUUGAUAUUGGCCAGUUUCUUUGAUGAUACUUUCACUUGCAACUGGUUGUUUCCUGAAUACCGAUUGCACUUCUGGCCCUAGAGAACCCUUGGAUUUUCCCAAAACUUUGCCAUGACGGUUGGUCGCGUGGGACUUAACCUUUUUCAACUUUAUUUUGCCUGUGUAGGACUUUCACUUCCUUCUUCCAAUUUUAGCUUAAGAGCAUUGGGGAACCUUUGGCUUUUGCCAAGGCGGUUAGCCACUUGGGACUUAACCUUUUCAACAUCAUUUUACCCUUAUAGGCACUUCAAUUUGAUUUUCUCCUUCCAAGAGUUUUUUGAUUUUGAAGUAUCGACUACCAUGGCCAGUCGGGGUCGACUUGAUGCCCCUGCCAAGGCUGGGUGUCAUUUUUGCAUAUUAGUGUAUCAAACGAGAACCCUGUAAAUCAGUCUUGCUAUCUCUUCUUUGCCUUAGUUUUUUGGAACAAAGUUAGACCGAAAACGAUUAAAAAAAAAAACAAAUAAUUGAAUGAAAAAUGAGUUUAAACGAGAGUUGUCCUUUUCGGGGAACGGAAAGAAGGACUUAUCUGGAGUACCUACGGACUUCAAUGAACAUGACAUGUCUUUUGGACUGGAUGCCUGAUCAGUGUGAACCGUCCGACUCUCACAAAUUCAUCACAACUUUUGCCUCGAAACCGAGAAACUUUGCCCAGGAUUGUGUUGGUGCCAAUGGCUGUGAGGAUCCUCUUUUUCAAUUAGUGGUGCCCUCUGCGGGUUUUCACCAACUGACCUCUCUCAUUUCUCUUCUCACCAUCGCCUUAUAGUGCUCUUUGUGUGUUUUCACUAAAAAGACUCUGUCAUUUUUAAUUUCUCUACUUACCAUCGCCUUACGGUAUCCGUGAGGAUUUUCACAAACAAGACUCUCUCAUUUUAUUUCUCUCAUUUGGUUAUAUCAGAUCCAAGUGAUUGUAUCCUUCAAUUCUUGAAUAUUCUCGUUGAUUGAUCGGAAGGACUUGAAAAUGAUUUGGGUAAAAAGGAUUUGGAUUGAAUUAUAACUUUAGAACCUUUCAGGCGAAACUAUCGUUGAACCAUUGUAAGAUUUGCCCCAGUUUCACUUUUGGGAGGAAUGUGGAUUUUUGUUUUAGUAUGACUGAACCCCAGAGAGAGGCUGUCUACGUAUCCUUUCAGAAUCAAGUCAAACGCAGUUCAAUGAACUUGUUUGGAUUUUUGUUUUGUUUUCUUUUUCUUAUUCUUUCUCUUUUUUUUGUCUUCUUUGUUUUGUUUUUCUUCUCUUUUUUAUUUCUUGUUUCUUUUUUUUUUAUAGCAUCUUCAGAUUCUAAGAGUGUAAUCAAAGAAAGGUAACCAGUUCAAAAGGGUUAGCAAAGGGUUGAUAGUGUUUGAAUAGCAAGAAUGAAAGCCUUCAUCAUCCCAAUUAGAGAACAUUAAUAAUACAUAGAGGGUAAAACAUAGUACCUUUUGACUACAUCCGCGUUGACAGUUGUUUCAAGGGCAUUUCCUUCGAUGCUUCCCAGGUACAAUGCUCUCUUUUGCAGUAAUCGCGUUACAAUCUAUGGACCUUUCCAAUCCAGAGCCAAUUUUCUUUUAGCUUCUUCAUGAGGUGGGAGGAUACGUCUCAGAAUGAGUUGUCCUAUUUCAAAUUUCCUGGGCCGCACUUUCUUAUUGUAGACACGGGCCGUUCUUUGUUGGUACAACUGCCUGUAGAAAACUGCGGCCAAUCAUUUUUCAUCAAUCAGUGUCAAUUGUUCCAAUCGGUUCUUGACCAAUCAUUAUCCUCAAUCUCGGCUUCAACAAUGAUGCGAAGAGAGGGAAUUUCAACUUCUUCCGAUUUCAUUGGGACUUGGCUUAGGCCUACUGUUCCAAUUCUUUAUUUAUUUUCUCACAAGCCUUAUCUUCAACAUAUUCUGCUUCUUGAUUCAUUAUUUCGAGGUCUGACAGUGUUUUAGGAUCUGGGCAUGAAGUCCGCAAGCAUGUCAUGUUAUUAAAAUCUACAUUAACAGAACUGAAAAGAGAAUAAGAAAGGUGACAAUAUUAAGAAAAGAGACAUUUGUUAACGAUAAAAUAUUAAUUUCAUUUAUUUGAAACUUUUAUUUAAUAUAGAAGAGUUUACAUCAGAAAGAAAAGCAGUGAAGUAAAACAUCCAGAUUACACCCUGAAAUAAUUCGUACGCAGAAAAGACAGCAAGACCGGCUACCGAGACUCCCAUCUAACAAAGAACUUUUCAGGUUUGCCACUCGUUUUUAGGUUUCUCUUCUGCCGCGAUAAUAGUUAAUGUGGCUUUCAAUGGUGGAUCGUCAAGUCUUCAACAGCCCUUUUGAGGGUCCAGCAGUCCUCUGUAUCAUGUCACACUGCUCUAGAGUGGUAUUCACAUCUAGCAUCAGCUUGAUGCGAGGGGGACUCGGGGUUUGGCCGGUACGGGGCCACUGGCUGCAGCAGACCUAGCCUGAUUAGCUUUUGAAACAAACUUGAAUAUGAUUCACGGCUCUCUUGGGCAAGGAUUGUAUUGGGGAAUAUUUGGUUGGGGAUUAUAUGGAGCUUGGUAAGGAUGGGAAUUUCUAGGAGGUAGAGCUCGGUUUUGUGUAUAAUGUUGUGGUCGUCUGUAAGGUUGCACGUUCAUUACCGCAUAGGGAGGUGGUGCCACGGAAUAAGCAGCAUCUUGAUGGGGAUAAUAGUGUUGUGGGAUCUUAGGAAGCAUAUAUAAUUGGUUAAAUGACCUACGGGCCCCCCUCGAGCUCGAAGCCAUCAUGGCUCCCUCUUACCUCCUGCUUAUGUUCAUUAAACCCCCUGAACCAUUCCGAACGGUCUGUGAUGUUGCCUUAAAGGCAGCAUGUCUCAAGAUUUGGCCCGUUUUUAAAUUAUUUUUUACCAUCUCCCCAAUUUUGAUAGCCUCGGCGAACGGAUUACUUAUAGCAGACAUCAUGUUCUGGAAGUAGUCCGCCUCUUGGGCCUGUAGGAAAACCGUAACCAUUUCUGCUUCGUCCAUUGGAGGCUUUACCCUGGCGGCUUGUUCGCAUUGUUUGACAGCAUAUUCACGGAAACUUUUCGUGUUUUCUUUUUCAAAUUAGACAAAGAGUUCUCUUUUUGGAUUUUUCACUCUUGCUUUCUUUCUUUUCUUUUUUUGGGUUGUUUUUCGCUCUUCGUUUUUCUUUGUUAUUUUUGCCACUCUUUUCUUUAUUUUUCUUUCUUCUUCUUUUUUCACUCGGUUUAUUUAAUGGCUAUGAUCGAAUUCGAUGGGGAAUGCCUACGUAUCAUAACGUCGCAUGAAUCAGAUCAUUACAUAGUUCAGAAAAAUCAGGAAUUGAGUAAAUAAACUAACUCUUUUUUUAACUUUUUAUAAAACUCGGACCAUGAAAGCUUCUAGAAAAAGAAAUAUUUUUGAAUUUAAAUUAAUUAUUAUUUUUUGGAUUUUCUAAGGAAAGAAUUCUAAGAAGGAAUUAAGGAAAGGAAAAAUAUUUUUAGAUUUUUUGAAAAUUGGGGCCGGACGCGAUGAAGGUUUGUCUACGUAUCUCACAUCCGGUGAGAAUCAGACCUGCAUAGUUCGGUCUGUUUUGACACAACAGGAAAAAUAUGACUUUGGAAAACAUUAGCUCAUUUUGAAAUAACUUUUAUUUUCCUCUUUUUUGUUUUUAAAAUUUCGGCAGAGUUUCUUUAUUUUUCAUACCUGGAUUUUUCAGAACCGGGAAAUAUUUUUUUCUCUCCUACCUCCCUCUUGGUUUUUUUCUUAAUUUUCUUUCCCUACUCUAGAAGCCGGUCAACAUGCAAGCCGAAACGAACAAAUGCACAAGUAACACGUAAAAUGCAUCAGGGUGAUCUUUUAAUUUGGGUACACCUGUCCUAGACGGAUCCAACCCCUAUGUUGAGUCCCCAAAGUCAAAUGCACGUGAUGCAAAUAAAUAUUCUCACUAUGGAUCCGGCAUGAGGCUAUGUUAUUCUAGCUUUGAAUCCUUGGUUGUGUUGUUCUAGACCUGGCUUACCCGAGCAGACAACUCGUGUAACCCCCCAAAAUUUUACUAAUAUUUGUAUUCUCGAUUGAGCAUCUUUAUAAAGAGGAGAUAUUUUACUUCGCACUUCCUAAACGUGAAAUUUAUAAUAUAUAAAAAUUCCUUACUUUAGUUUGUGUUAAUAUUGACAAAGAAGUUCCAUGGUAUUGUUAUGUGUAACAUUUAAUAUUAUUUUAAUGAAUUAUUUUUAAAUACAUUAGAUAUCUACGGUUUUGGGCUGCCACCCUUUUGUAUUUAUCUAAAGAUAUUUAGUACGUUGGGCAGCCGCAUUUUUCAUAUUUAUCCAAAGUUUUUAUAUUACUUUUGUGACAUGCUUUUUCAUAACCUCAUCUUAUUUUCAGUCUUUAAUGCCAAAGAAAACCCCAUCUCUCUCUCCUUCUUAUCACAUGAAAAACUCCAUGAAAACCAUCAUGAAUUUCUACUAAACCAACCAGCAAAACUCGUUUUUGGUGAAGCUCAAGUUGCUCCUCUCUUUUAUGGUAAGUUACUAAACCCAUUUUUACACUAGACAACUAUUAGUAUUUUCUUCAUAUCUCUUUGUAUAUAGCUCCGUUUUAAGUGAUCUAAGACUUUAUGGAAAGCUAUUUCAUAGAUCUAUAACUCUUAUGAAGGAUCCAAAACCUGGUUUAUCUUUUAUUUAUCCGAACAUAGGUGAUGAAGUACAUGGUAGGUGCUGCCCAGAUUUUACUAUUUUAGGGUGUGUUAAUAACUCAAGUCUUGUAAUAUGCUGAAUUUAGACUUUGUCUUGUAAAUAUGUACAAAGAAAAAAACUAGAUUUUUUUUAUACCCGAUAGUUUGAAAUUUAUGUACAAUACAAACUUGCAUGAUGUUGAAUGAAAGUAUAAUUUUGUUAGGAGGUUGAUUUAACGUGUUGAUUAUUUAAGAAGGGUUAUAUCACCUUAUGUUGAUAUUUUGACAUUGUAUAUCAUAAAAAAAAAUUAAAAAGAGUAUUUUCAAAAAUAAAAAUAUUGCACUUUGGACCUCAUCGCAUAGGCCUAUUUCCGCUACUAAAUUAUUCUGAAUAUUUUUUUUAAAAUUAAUAUCUUCUUAAUGUUGUAAGUUGUAAAUUAGAUUUGUUUCAUAAGUAGCACCCUCCCAAAGGGGUUGCUACAAGUUUUGGUAUCAGAGCCUAGGUUUGUGAUUCUAGGAUUUUUGUUGUGAUCGUACUUAAUAUGUUUUGUUAUUUUCUUUGUUGAAAAUGACUUUGAGAUUAUAAAUUAUUACAUACUUGUUUAAUGUAAUUUGUUGUAUUCCUUGUGCAUAUGCAUCAUGCACAUGUCCCUAAUACAAUGUGAUCUUAUCUUUUAUAGGAAUUUUAAUAUGGCCUCUUCUUCGAAUAGAGCUAUUGAAUCCGUUGAUGAAAGUCAGGCCCAUUAUAAUGCUCCACCUCACCUCCAAGAGGGAGAUGAGGUACCCUUGCCUAACCUAAAUCAUCAUAGUGUUAGUGAAAAUGAAGUGGGCAAUAAUCCAAGAGCAAUGGGUUAUAGUACUCCUAUUAUGACUCCUCCAUUUCAGCAGAUGGUUGAGUUCUUUCGUCACUUGGCUGGAACAAUGUCAGAACCUAGUGAAAUGAAUUUUGAGAAGAUGAAGAAAAUGGGUGGAGUUGAAUUUGAAGGCACUAUUGAUCCCACGGUAGCUGAACAAUGGAUCGAGCGCAUGGAGAGGGUCUUUGAACAACUAGAGUGUACUAAUGCUUCCAAAUUUAAGUAUGCUAUCUCUCUUUUACAAAAAGAUACCUAUGAUUGGUGGGUAAGUGUGCCAAAUGCAAAAGCAAAACCUCCGGUGCUGACUUGGGAUGACAUUGUGAAAGCAUUUCGUGUGAAAAUAUGCGUCUAUUGUGAUGCUAAGAAAAAAGAGUUUCUGAAUUUAAGACAAGGGAGUAUGUCUAUUGCAUGGUAUCAACAAAAAUUUCUAAGGCUCUCUCGCUAUGCUGGAGGUAUUAUUGAUGGUGAAAGAGACAAGUGCACAAGAUCUGAAGAAGGUUUGAAUGGUUACAUUCGAAAGUAUAUGGCAAUCUUGCAACUUGAGGAUUUUUCCAAGUUAAUUUCAGCUGCUCUUACUUGGAAAAGAAUUGAAAAGGAANNNNNNNNNNNNNNNNNNNNNNNNNNNNNNNNNNNNNNNNNNNNNNNNNNNNNNNNNNNNNNNNNNNNNNNNNNNNNNNNNNNNNNNNNNNNNNNNNNNNNNNNNNNNNNNNNNNNNNNNNNNNNNNNNNNNNNNNNNNNNNNNNNNNNNNNNNNNNNNNNNNNNNNNNNNNNNNNNNNNNNNNNNNNNNNNNNNNNNNNNNNNNNNNNNNUUGUCCUAAUCUUAAUCCUCUUUCUUAUACACAUAAGAGGGCUCAGUUCAAAAGCCUGUCACUACUCAUUCUCAAGCUAAUAGCAGCGCAAGACCUAGAAAUGUGCAAGCAGCGGGUUCGGGUGGAGCUAAUCAGGUUAGUGGAUUGAGAUCUACUGCACUAGUCUAUGUUAUGAGACAGAGGAAUAACCAAGAUGGCCCGGACGUGGUUGUUGGUAAAUUUCACUUAUUUGGCAUAUUUGUUGUUACAUUAUUUGAUCCUGGAUCUUCGCACUCUUAUGUUUGCUCAUCACUUGCAUUUCCUGAUACUGUUAAAUCUGUGAGACUUGACUUUGAUGUGCUGGUCACGAGUCCGUUAGGUCAUCAGGCUGUUGUUAACAGGAUUUACCGAGAUUGUCCAUUCAUGAUUCAAAAUCUGGUCUUCCCUGCAGACUUGAUUGAAAUGCCCUUCCAAGACUAUGAUGUUAUUGUUGGUAUGGAUUGGCUCCAUAGGUACCAUGUAUUGGUUGAUUGUAGGUUGAAGCAGGUGACUUUUAGAACUCAUGGAUAUUCACACAUAGUAGUUCAAGAAGAAAGAUCAUUGACAUCUAAUAUUAUCUCUGCGGUCUUGACAAGGAAGAUGAUUUGUCAAGGUUGCGAUGCCUAUCUUGCUCAUAUAGUCGAUACACAAUUGGGGAGUCCAAGUCUUAAGGACAUACCCACCAUAUGCGACUUUCCUGGUGUAUUUCCUGAUGAUCUUCCUAGGUUGCCUCCCAAAAGGGAGAUUGAAUUUCCUAUAGAGCUUGUCCCUGGAACUACUCCUAUUUCUAUAGCUCCUUAUAGAAUGGCUUCAGUUGAAUUAAAAAAGUUGAAGGCUCAAUUGCAAGAACUUGUUGAGAAAGGUUUUAUCUGUCCCAGUAUUUCACCUUGGGGAGCUCCUGUUUUUUUUGUGAAAAAGAAAGAUGGCACUCUUAGGCUUUGCAUUGAUUACCGACUGAACAAGGUAACAAUCAAGAACAAAUACCCACUGCCUAGAAUCGAUAACUUUUUUGACCAACUGAAGGGUUCCAGCUUGUUCUUAAAAAUUGACUUGAGGUCUGGAUAUUAUCAGUUGCGCAUGAGGGAGCAAGAUAUUCCUAUUCCUAAAACUACUUUUAGGACCAAGUAUGGCCAUUAUGAAUUUUUGGUAAUGCCAUUUGGUUUGACAAAUGCUCCUACUGCAUUUAUGGAUCUAAUGAACCGUGUAUUCAAGCCUUACCUUGAUCAAUUUGUGGUGGUCUUUAUUGAUGGCGUUUUAGUCUAUUCCAAGAAUAGAGAAGAUCAUGAUAAGCAUCUCUGAAUUUUCAUGCAAAUUCUGAAAGAGAGGCAACUCUAUGCGAAGCUUUCCAAAUGUGAAUUUUGGUUGAGUGAAGUGGCAUUUUUGGGGCAUACUGUAUCAGCUGAAGGUGUGAAGGUUGAUCCUAGUAAGAUUCAAGCUAUUAUUGUUUGGAAACCUCCUAAAACUCCAAUUGAGAUUAGAAGUUUCUUGGGUUUAGAAGGAUACUAUAGGAGGUUCGCGAAGGGUUUCUAUAUUAUAGCUUCUCCUUUGACCAAACUUUUGGGGAAAGAUGCCAAAUUUAUGUGAGAUGACAAGUGUCAAGAGAGAUUUGAAAAGCUCAAAUCCUUGUUGACACAAGCUCCAAUACUUUCUUUGCUAACUGAAAGGAAAGAUUAUGUGGUAUACAGUAAUGCAUCUCACCGUGGCUUGGGUUGUGUUUUGAUGCAAAAAGGGAAAGUAAUUGUGUAUGCCUCCCCAAAUUUAAAAUCACAUGAGUUGAAUUAUCCCACUCACGAUCUUGAACUUGCUGCCAUUGUUUUUGCCUUAAAAAUUUGGAGGCACUACUUGUACGGGGAGAAGUGUUAUAUACUUACUGAUCACAAGAGUUUGAAAUACUUGGCUACACAAAAAGAGUUAAACUUGAAACAAUGUAGAUGGCUUGAACUCAUCAAAUAUUAUGAUUGCAUGAUUGAUUAUCAUCCUGGUAAAGCUAAUGUGGUUGCAGAUGUGUUGAGUCGCAAUUCCCUUGCAAGUUUAACUCUAAGUCUGUUGCCCUUGCUUCUUGAAUUAAGAGUCAUGAAUGCUUGUCUUUCAUUUAAUUCUAAUGGUUCUAUCAUUGCUAAUUUUCAAGUCAAGCCAGUCUUACUUGAGCAGGUCCAUGAAGCACAGAAGUUAGAUGAGAAGCUUGGGAAACGAGUUGAAGAAGUCCAAAAUGGAAGAGAAUCAGAUUUUACAUUGAAGAAAAAUGAUACCUUAUUUUAUAAAAAUAGGUUGUGUGUUCCUAAUGAUGAUGAAUUGAGUAAGCAGAUCUUGAUUGAAGCACAUAGUUCACCUUAUGCAAUGCAUCCUGGAGGUACUAAAAUGUAUCAGACCAUCAAGGAGCACUACUGGUGGAGUGGUAUAAAGAAAGACAUUAUAGAGUUCAUUUCUAAAUGCUUGGUAUGUCAACAAAUAAAAGUUGAACAUCAAGUCCCAGCUGGUCUACUGCAACCCUUGUCAAUACCUGAGUGGAAAUAAGAAAGGAUAACGAUGGACUUUUCACGCACUCAAAGGAAUCAUGAUGCAAUUCGGGUCAUUGUAGAUAGACUAACUAAGAGUGCUCAUUUCUUGGCAAUCAGAAUGGACUACUCACUAGAACGUUUGGCAGAAUUAUACAUUAAUGAGAUUGUGAAGCUGCAUGGAAUCCCUGUUUCUAUUGUGUCUGACAGAGAUCCAUGGUUUACAUCCAGAUUCUGGUCUAGCUUGCAAAAAGCUUUGGGUUCCAAGUUAAGUUUUAGUACCGUUUUCCAUCAACAAACAGACAGCCAGUCUGAAAGGGUAAUACAAAUCUUGGAGGAUAUGCUUCGAGCCUCCAUUAUUGAGUUUGAGGGUAGUUGGGACAAACACUUAGCUCUGAUAGAAUGUGCUUACAAUAAUAUCUACCAAUCAAGUAUAGGCAUGCCUCCUUAUGAAACUUUGUAUGGGAAAAAAUGCAGAACGCCUCUUUGUUGGAACGAGGUUGGUGAAAGAAAAUUGGUGGGUCCUUAGAUUGUUCAACAAACUGAAGAUAAGGUAAAACUCAUCAAGGAUCGCUUAAAAAUUGCCUCAGACAGAUAAAAGUCUUAUAUUGAUCUUAAGAGGCGUGAAAUUGAGUAUAAAGUGGGUGAUAAGGUAUUUUAAAAGGUUUCUCCAUAGAGGAAGAUUAUGAGAUUUGGCCAAAAAGGUAAACUUAGUCCAUGAUUUAUUUGAUCUUAUGAAGUGCUUGAGAGAGUUGGCUCAGUUGCUUAUAAACUAACUCUUCUACCAGAGUUAGAAAAGAUCCGCAACGUCCUCCAUGUUUCUAUGCUUAGAAGAUACCGCUCAGAUCCAUCUCAUGUUCUUCCUAUUGAAUCUAUUGAGGUCAAUUCUGAUUUGACAUAUGAAGAAGAACCAAUCCAAAUCUUAGUGUGUGAGUUAAAGGAGAUUAGAAACAAGAGCAUCCCCUUAGUGAAAGUUCUUUGGAAAAAUCAUUCUGGCGAAGAAGCUACCUGGGAGCGAGAAGAGGAUAUGCAAGUUCAAUAUCCACAUUUGUUUCGAGACUAGUACAAGGUAAAUUUAGGGAAGAAAUUUGUUUAAGGGGGAGAGAGUUGUACCACCCCAAAUGUUUACAAAUAUUUACAUUCUCAAUUGAGCAUCUUUAUAAUGAGGAGAUAUUUUACUUCACACUUCCUAAAUGUGAAAUUUACAAUAUAUGAAAAUUCCUUACUUUAGGUUGUGUUAAUAUUGACAAAGAAGUUUCAUGGUGUUGCUAUGUGUAACACUUAAUAUUAUUUUGAUGAAUUAUUUUUAAAUACAUUAGAUAUCUAAGGUUUUGGGCUUCUAUCCUUUUGUAUUUAUCUAAAGAUAUUUAGUAGGUUGGGCAGCUACAUUUUUCAUAUUUAUCCAAAGUUUUUAUAUUACUUUUGUGAUAUGCUUUUUCAUAACCUCAUCUCAUUUUCAGUCCUUAAUGCCUAAGAAAACACCAUCUCUCUCUCCUUAUUAUCACCUGUAAAACUCCAUGAAAACCAUCAUAAAUUUCCACUAAACCGACCAGCAAAACUCGUUCUUGAUGAAGCUCAAGUUGCUCCUCUCUUUUGUGGUAAGUUACUAAACCCGUUUUUACACUAGACAGCUAUUAAUGUUUUCUUCAUAUCUUUUUGUAUAGAGCUCCGUGUUAAGUGAUCUAAGACUUUUUGAAAAUAUAUUUCAUAGAUCUAUAACUCUUAUGAAGAAACCAAAACAUGGUUUGUAUUUUAUUUACCCGAAAUUAGGUGAUGAAGUAUAGGGCAGGUGUUGCCCAGAUUUUGUUGUUUUAGGUCGUGUUAAUAACUCAAGUCUUGUAAUAUGCUGAAUUUACAUUUUGUCUUGUAAAUAUGUACAAAGGAGAAAAUUACUUUUCAUUUUUAUACCCGAUAGUUUGAAAUUUAUGUACAAUACAAACUUGCGGUGAUUUGAAUAAAAGUAUAAUUUUGUUAGGAAGUUGCUUUAACGUGUUGAUUGAUCAAGAAGGGUUAUAUCACCUUAUGUUGAUAUUUUGACAUUGUAUUUCGUAAAAAAGAAAAAACUAUUUUAAAGAGUAUUUUCAAAAAUAAAAAUAUUGCACUUUGGACCUCAUCGCAUGGGCCUAUUUCCGCUACUAAAUUAUUCUGAAUUUAUUUUUUACUUAAUAUCUUCUUAAUGUUGUAAGUAGUAAAUUAGAUUUGUUUCAUAAGUAGUACCGUCCCAAAGGGGUUACUUUAACUCGAGCCGUGGGGGGGAGGGGGGAGGUGGGACGUACCGGGAACCAAAAGGUCAUUCAGCUUUUGUAACUGAUCUGAUCCUCGUUCUAAAAUUAGGGAUAUGACACUCUAACAGAAAAGAAACCACGCCGGCGUGUGCUUCCCAGACGAUAUAGAAGACUCAGAGAGAAGAAGGGUGUUGUAACAGUUUUAUAUACAGUUCAAACAAUAUCGAGUUGUCACACCAUUUUUUCCCCGAAGAAUAUAGGAGUUUUUUCAAUUAAAGUGACAUUAUUCGAAAUGGGAUUAUUUAUUUAAUUAGAGUCGCCACUUGAAAUAUUUAUUAUGGUGUCCCAAGUCACCGGUUUAUUUUAAAAUCCCAAAUCGAGGAAAUUGACUCUAUUUAUGGUCCGCGAACACAGAAAACUGGGUAAAAAAUUCUGUUAACCCGGAAGAAGGUGUGAGGCACUCCCGAGUUCUGUGGUUUUAGCACGAUCGCUUAACAAUUAGUACUUGGCUUAUUUAAAUUGUAACCACUUUUAUUUUUAGCCAUUUUUAGUAUUUAUGGAAUUUAUUUGAACAAGUCACAAUGUCACGCACUUAUUAUUUUUGUACACAUUGCAAAUCACGUCACGUGAAACGUACCCGCAAUUUACAACAUAUUUAUUUUAUUAUUAUUUGAAGUUGGGGUCAAGUCACGUAAACGCGCACUUAAUUGAGAUUUACAUAUCAUGACCAUGCCACGGGAACCGUACCCAUAGUCAAGAUAAUUUAUUAAUUAAUCGCGCCUAAAGCAACUAGCGCGUUUGAAUUAUUUUUUCUACUUCGAGAUUAUUGUGAAGAACAAAGGUUAUGGAAUAGUUGUGGGAAAAUGUAGUAUUUGAUUAACGUUUUUUACUAAAUCAAAAAAAAAAACAUGGAUUAACUUAUAUCUAAACCCAUAUUCCUUCUAACGCACACCAUCGGUAAAAUAACAAUUAAACUCUACAAGCUCGGAAGUCCAUAAUUUAGUUCCACCCCAUUAAAUAAACACUCUUAUAUAAAGAUAUAAUCUAACUUUUGCCUCUCUAGUAACAUUGAUCCACUUAUUUCCAUUAAAUAAAUAAAUAAAUAAUUUGCGGUACACUCGAAGAAUAAAAAUUAGAUAUUUGGGUCAAAGAGCGAAUUCUUGAGGGAACGCCUCAACCAUAAACUAAUAGAUUAGAACAUAAAACCAACAAAAUCACCACCUAAGCAAUACAUGGUUAAUUUAAGCAAAUAUGCAGCAGGAUAUUUCAUGCAAUAAUCUUUAUCUGAUCAAAAUAAAUAAAUAAAUCCGAACCAGCAUCUAAAAAUUGACACACAUAUAGAUCAAUAACAGAGAAUGAAGAUAAGAGAUUGGACCUCUAUAGAUUUCUUUGCAAUUUGAGAAAAAGGACAAAACAAACUCUGACACUUGAAACCAAACUUCAACGCCGAGACCGACGGGAAAGCGACAUCCAGGACACAAACGGAGUAGUCGAACAGAAACUCGCCAUUGACUGGAAACCUUGAACCCAGCAAAACAUCACUGUUUUAGGUGGGGGGGGGGGGAGGACUAUUCUGAGGUAUUUUUAUGGCUAAUUUGGUGCAUUUUUCUGGAUUUUCUUUGCGUUAUUUGGGCCAAGGAGGGGACAUUUGUAGACUGUUUUUUGCUGGAUUUGAGGGCUAUUUUCAGAGCUGAUUUUCGGGACUGUUUCAGCUGAAUUUUGGGGUCACGGGUUUUGGGGCUGGUUUUGCUUAGUUUUGGGGACUAUUUUGAGGAGGUUUUGGGGGUGUUUUUCAGCUGUGUUUUGGCUGCACUUUUGGACUGUUUUUGAGGCUGUUUCGAGGUGGUUUAGAGGCUGGUUUAUGGAGAGAUUUUACCUCAUUUUUCGAGCUUUAUUCGGCUGGUUUCAAUGGAGUUUUAGGGGGUUGCUUUUGGGGUGUUCAUGGCUGGAAAAGAAGAGGAUGUAUGGGGGUUUUUGGGUGGUGUUUUAGUCGCUUUAUGACUGAAUUUUCAUGAUUGUUUAGGGGGCUUUUAGAGCUGGUUUUCACAUAGGGAAGAAAGGCUCGUGAGCUGCUGCUAUAGAGAAAAAGAUGCAGUGGAUUUUCGUUGCUGCUUUGAGGAAGGGAACAAUCCCUCUUUUCUUUCCAAUCUCCCGUUUCUCUCUCAUUUUUCAGCGAUUUUCCCCGGCCCCCUUUUUGUGUGCU